CAGCCCCGCGGUAAUACCGGCGGCCCGAGUGGCGGUCACUAUUAUUUGGCUUAAAGCGUCCGUAGCCGGGUUGGGAAGUCCUCCGGGAAAUCUGGCCGCUUAACGGUCAGAAUGCCGGAGGAUACUCCCAGCCUAGGGAGCGGGAGAGGCCGAGGGUAUUCCCGGAGUAGGGGUGAAAUCCUAUAAUCCCGGGAGGACCACCUGUGGCGAAGGCGCUCGGCUGGAACGCGUCCGACGGUGAGGGACGAAGGCCAGGGGAGCAAACCGGAUUAGAUACCCGGGUAGUCCUGGCGGUAAACGAUGCGGACUUUGUGUCGGACAAGCUAUGAGCUUGUCCGGUGCCGGAGGGAAACCGUUAAGUCCGCCGCCUGGGGAGUACGGCCGCAAGGCUGAAACUUAAAGGAAUUGGCGGG
rnacentral:rRNA from 1 species